rnacentral:rRNA from 1 species
GACGAACGCUGGCGGCGUGCUUAACACAUGCAAGUCGAACGGAAAGGCCCUGCUUUUGUGGGGUGCUCGAGUGGCGAACGGGUGAGUAACACGUGAGUAACCUGCCCUUGACUUUGGGAUAACUUCAGGAAACUGGGGCUAAUACCGGAUAGGAGCUCCUGCUGCAUGGUGGGGGUUGGAAAGUUUCGGCGGCUGGGGAUGGACUCGCGGCUUAUCAGCUUGUUGGUGGGGUAGUGGCUUACCAAGGCUUUGACGGGUAGCCGGCCUGAGAGGGUGACCGGCCACAUUGGGACUGAGAUACGGCCCAGACUCCUACGGGAGGCAGCAGUGGGGAAUAUUGCACAAUGGGCGGAAGCCUGAUGCAGCAACGCCGCGUGCGGGAUGACGGCCUUCGGGUUGUAAACCGCUUUCGCCUGUGGCGAAGCGUGAGUGACGGUAAUGGGUAAAGAAGCGCCGGCUAACUACGUG